ACACCUGCUUUGGCAGUGCAUAUACUCAAGGAGAUACAGAUACUGGGAAGAGUAACAUGACCCCUGCAGAAGGAAGACACGAACAUUCGUGAAAUGUUCCCUAUUAGA
ensembl:snRNA U6 U6 spliceosomal RNA